AGGAGCCCACACUUCGGGGCCAAUGUCGUGAUGCAAGGAGGCAAACUUCAAGUUGGACGUCGCAACGUGAUAGAAGUGAUGUCGGACCGUCAAUUUUAAAAGGAAGCCAAGUCGGAUAAAUUACGUGUUUAACGCUGCAACGUUGGAGGGCAUAUUGAACCUUCGAGGCUACAUCAUGUGUUGAGGAGGCUACGUCGUGACGUUUUGCAGGUAACUGCUGUGAACUUGAUAGUUACUCAAUGGUAACUUAUGGAAUUUUGCAGCAACGCCACAACAUAGCUAAGCUUAAGUCACAACGUAGUGAACAAGUUAGAACUUUAAUGAGGGGUUAUUUCAUCUUUUCCCCGCUCUGAAGCUUUUAGUAUAAAUAGUUUUGUUUUAAAAAAGUUGAGGGAGUUAGACUAUUUCUUUUCAAAGCUAGGGAUUUUUCUUUUAAACUCCUACAGAGAAUUUGAACUUUUCCUUUGUAAUUUUCUUUUUCUAUCUUGUACUUUCUGAUUCUUGAUUAGAUUUCUAGCUUGUUUUCUUUUAUAUUUGAAUUGUAGACUCUCAAAAGUGAUGGAAUCUUCAAUACUUUGCAUGGAUUUUGCUUCGGCUAGUUGAAACUGGAA
rnacentral:lncRNA from 1 species